rnacentral:hammerhead_ribozyme from 1 species
ACACUACUGAGGAGUCCCGCAAUAGGACGAAACGGCCGUUCAGUGU